GACGAACGCUGGCGGCGUGCUUAACACAUGCAAGUCGAACGGAAAGGUCCUGCUUUUGUGGGGUGCUCGAGUGGCGAACGGGUGAGUAACACGUGAGUAACCUGCCCCUGACUUUGGGAUAACUUCAGGAAACUGGGGCUAAUACCGGAUAGGAGCUCUCGCUGCAUGGUGGGGGUUGGAAAGUUUCGGCGGUUGGGGAUGGACUCGCGUACUAUCAGCUUGUUGGUGGGGUAGUGGCUUACCAAGGCAUUGACGGGUAGCCGACCUGAGAGGGUGACCGGCCAAAUUGGGACUGAGAUACGGCCCAGACUCGUACGGGAGGCAGCAGUGGGGAAUGUUGCACAAUGGACGGAAGCCUAAUGCAGCAACGCAGCGUGCGGGAUGACGGCCUUCGGGUUGUAAACCGCUUUCGCCUGUGACGAAGCGUGAGUGACGGUAAUGGGUAAAGAAGCACCGGCUAACUACGUG
rnacentral:rRNA from 1 species